rnacentral:misc_RNA from 1 species
AACUAACUGAAAAUAAGAGAUCAUUUCUGCAUAUGCAAAACGAUUAUAAGCUGCCAAUUUCACUUAUGCCUCAUUAAAGUAUGAACUCCAUCUUAUUCAAGUGAUAGAGAUAUUGAAUUUGAUAGAAUUACCUUACUCAAAUCACUAUGGUAUGAAAAUUUUUUAGAAAGGAGCUUAAUUCUCUUUUAUGAGCAAAAAUUUUUAUUAAUAUGAAAGAAGUCGAUAAAAAACUUAGCAUGAACCACCCAACUAAGUCUCAGCUAACAGGUCUCCUCAAGAACUUAACCUAGAACAAUAUAU